AUAUUUUCAGAAAUAUACUUCUAUAUUACCUACAAACAAUAAAAUGUACAAGAUAGAUGUAACUAAUAAUAAUCCAUCAACUUCUACAAACACAGAUUUUUUGGCACAGGAAAUGGAAAGCAGCAUUGUUGAUAAUAUUGAAUUUGAAGAAAUUGACAUUGAUGAAAUUAAUGCUAAUGUUAAUGUUUUGGAGGAUGAAAUUAAUGCUAAUGUUGAUGUUUUGGAGGAUGAAAAUAUAAAUACCGCAUCACAAGUGAAAGUUAUUUCUGAACGUUAUGAAACACGAAGCAAAUAAGCUACCAAUAGUAAAGAAAAUAAUUCUGGUGCAGCUGUGCAAUUAAUGCGUGAAAAUCUUGAAAUUAAAAAUGAGAAAUUAAGGAUCUCUAAAGAAAAAUUACUUUU